rnacentral:rRNA from 1 species
AUACGUAGGGGGCGAGCGUUGUCCGGAAUGAUUGGGCGUAAAGGGCGCGUAGGCGGCCCGGUAAGUCUGGAGUGAAAGUCCUGUUUUUAAGAUGGGAAUUGCUUUGGAUACUGUCGGGCUUGAGUGCAGGAGAGGUAAGUGGAAUUCCCAGUGUAGCGGUGAAAUGCGUAGAGAUUGGGAGGAACACCAGUGGCGAAGGCGACUUACUGGACUGUAACUGACGCUGCGGCGCGAAAGUGUGGGGAGCAAACAGGAUGAGAUACCCUGGUAGUCCACACUGUAAACGAGGAAUGCUAGGUGUAGGGGGUAUCGACCCCUUCUGUGCCGCAGGCAACACAAUAAGCAUUCCGCCUGGGGAGUACGGCCGCAAGGUUGAAACUCAAAUGAAUUGACGGGG